CGAAAGCCUGACGGAGCAACGCCGCGUGAGGGAUGAAGGCCUCUGGGCUGUAAACCUCUUUUAUCAAGGAAGAAGAUCUGACGGUACUUGAUGAAUAAGCCACGGCUAAUUCCGUGCCAGCAGCCGCGUUAAUACGGGAGUGGCAAGCGUUAUCCGGAAUUAUUGGGCGUAAAGCGUCCGCAGCCGGCUUUGUAAGUCUGCCGUUAAAGCGUGGAGCUCAACUCCAUUUCAGCGGUGGAAACUACAAGGCUUGAGUGUGGUAGGGGCAGAGGUUAUUCCCGGUGUAGCGGUGAAAUGCGUAGAUAUCGGGAAGAACACCAGUGGCGAAGGCUUUCUGCUGGCACAUAACUGACGCUCAUGGACGAAAGCCAGGGGAGCG
rnacentral:rRNA from 1 species